AACCCGCCUGCAUGAAGUUGGAAUCGCUAGUAAUCGCGGAUCAGCAUGCCGCGGUGAAUACGUUCCCGGGCCUUGUACACGCCGCCCGUCACACCAUGAGAGUCGGGAACACCCGAAGUCCGUAGCCUGACCGCGAAGGGGGGCGCGGCCGAAGGUGGGUUCGAUAAUUGGGGUGAAGUCGUAACAAGGUAAC
rnacentral:rRNA from 1 species